ensembl:lncRNA
ACCACCAGAUAGAUCCACCAUCAGAUAGAUCCACCACCAGAUAGAACCACCAUCCACAGAAGCCCGUGGGGAGGGAAAGCACAUAGAAGAAGGUAAUGCUGGUUUAUAAUGACAGCAACAGUAAUAUGAGUCAUGUUUAAAAUAUGAAUAAUGAUGAUGAUGAUGAUGAUGAUGAUGAUGGCAGCAGCAGGUAUCAGCAGGGCCACGGCAGGACCAGGAUCCAGAAGCUCUUUAAGAUACGAUGUCUCACCAGCAAGUGCCUUGUAGGUGAGGAGAAGUACCUUAACAUCUAUUAUUGAUUUAACAGGGAGCUAGUGCAGAGAAGUUAAUACAGGAGUGAUAUGAUCCCUUUUCUUAGUUCCUGUUAAUACACCUGCUGCAGCAUUCUGAAUCAACUGGAGAGGCUGAAGAGAUUUACAAGAGCAGCCUGAUGACAAAGGUUGAAUCCACUGAUUCUCCAGAGGAGUUUGGUGAGUCCGUGUGAGCAUUAAAGCUCUACAUCUGCAGCUCACUUUCCUCCUCUGGGUCCGGAGGAGUAUUUAUUGAUGCGUAUGAUGAUGUAUUUUAGUUCCAUCAGGUCCUUUCUUCAUCUGUACUUUGACUCAUGUUUGCUGCUAUAAUGUUUACACAUGGAAUCCAUAAAGUAAACUCUUAUUUUUUAGGAAGCCUCACUGAACAUCCGGUUGUCGCGCAUGGAAACAACUUGAGAAGCAGGAGAAUGACGUCAGAGGGGAAAGUUUCAGCUGCAGCUGCUAACAAUUAAAAAAACAAGAAAGAAAAAGAAGGACAGCGCCCUCUGAUGGCUCAAGGACAGCAGCACAAGGAGACAGAGACACAAGAAAAGAAAGGGACACAUACAUAGAGACAGGAGACAGGAAGACAAGGAGACAGCGACAAAGCGAGACAAAGAGACAAUAAAACAAUGAAACAAGGGGACAAGGAGACAGAGAAGCAAGAAGAUUGAGAGGGAGAUAAAGAUAAACAGACAAGAAGACAACGAGAAUGAGACACCAGGAGACAGGAACAAGAUGAAGAGACAAAGGGGACAGACAAAAAGGCAAAGGGACAGAAGACAAGGUGACAGAGAGACACAUAGACAGAUAGAAGGCAAUAGAGAGAUAAGGCAAUGGAGACAAAGAGACAGAGACACAUUGAAACAAGGAAACAAAAGGAUAUGGAAACAAGAAGACAAGGAACAAGGAGACAGAAAGACAAAGGGACAAGGAGAAAGAGAGAUACUCAGAGAUAAGGAAGCAAGUGGACAAAGAGACGUGGCCCACCUUCGACCCCAGGGGACACCAUGACUGGACUCUCGCCUCGUCCACCUGCUGCAGACACAUUUCCCCCUGUUGAUUAAUAUAUAAAAGAGGAGAAAGAGUACAGAGAAACCAGGAGAUGAGGACCAGGAGACAGAGAGACACGGCUACAGUUGUUGUAUGUGUCCCUUUGUUCUUGUGUCUGUCUCUUUGUAGUUGUUUUUCUCAGUUACUUUGGUACAUUUCUUGAAUCAUUCUUGACAUUUACAAAACAGCACGUGUAUUUCUCCAAACACUUCAUACAACUAGCAAAACACCUCGGACUCAGCAACAUUUAUUACCAAAAUUGGAUUACCUGCAAAAGCCAGUCUCUUGCUCAAAUCCUUCCGUUCAUCUCUCAAGAGUAAAUACGUGUGUCGCUGAACAUGCAAAUUGUAAGUUACACUUUAGUGUGUGUGGGAGAUUGAUUGCAAGAGACUGGACAAGAAGGAAUUUGUCAUAGUGUUGAAUCCAGCCUCUGCUGUGAUGUCAUCAUAUGCUGCAUCCUCUGUGCACGUGGCUGAUACACUUUCCAUCUCCAGGAGAGAACAAUUCCUCCAUGGAGUUUAGGAAUGGGGAGGAGAGUGAGAGGAACUUCAUCAGCAUCCUGUUGUGAGUCACAAACCAUCGCCUGAUGAUGUUGGUCUUUUUUUCCCUUUUCUUUUUGCUAGUUUAUCUGUCUCUCGUUGGUCGACAUACAUCAGAUCUGACAUGAGAUCAUGAAGCUUAACUCGGCCCAUUUCUGACAGAAUAAAUAAAUGGCUCAAAAGGUGGAUAAAUAUAUAUUUUACCAAAGCAACAAACGUAUAUUCUAAUUGCAUGAUACUAACCAACGUAACUAAUCUAUUUAUAUUUAUUAGAAUAUUACUGUAAUUUCUUAAUUGUUUGAUUCCGGCUAAAACAAAGUUCAUCUGUUCUUGAUCCUCCAGCAGGAGGAGAUGUUUCUCUACAUUCUGGAGUCUAGUUACCAGGGUUUUGCCUAAGAAACAUGAUGAAACUCACGGACACACACACAAUUGUUGAGACACACAAAGACCCCGAAAAACCCACUUGAGCGCACACACACAAACACACACACAUGUGCAUGCACAGAAAGGCCAAACUUUACUGAUUUUUAGUUUAUUCCUUCAGGGGCCGUCACCGACAGGUGAACCAUCAGGUGUCCCAUCAGUUAUCCCACCACGUAUCCCAUUAGGUGAACCAUCAGGUGUCCCAUCAGUUAUCCCACCAUGUAUCCCAUGAGGUGAACCAUCAGGUGUCCCAUCAGUUAUUCCACCACGUAUCCCAUCAGGUGAACCAUCUGUGUCCCAUCAGUUAUCCCACCACAUAUCCCAUUAGGUGAACCAUCUGUGUCCCAUCAGUUAUCCCACCACAUAUCCCAUUAGGUGAACCAUCAGGUGUCCCAUCAGUUAUCCCACCAUGUAUCCCAUUAGCUGAACCAUCAGGUGUCCCAUCAGUUAUCCCACCACGUAUCCCAUUAGCUGAACCAUCAGG